GACGAACGCUGGCGGCGUGCUUAACACAUGCAAGUCGAACGGAGCACCCUUGACUGAGGUUUCGGCCAAAUGAUAGGAAUGCUUAGUGGCGGACUGGUGAGUAACGCGUGAGGAACCUGCCUUUCAGAGGGGGACAACAGUUGGAAACGACUGCUAAUACCGCAUGAUGCGUAACUGGGACAUCCCGGAUACGCCAAAGAUUUUAUCGCUGAAAGAUGGCCUCGCGUCUGAUUAGAUAGUUGGCGGGGUAACGGCCCACCAAGUCGACGAUCAGUAGCCGGACUGAGAGGUUGACCGGCCACAUUGGGACUGAGAUACGGCCCAGACUCCUACGGGAGGCAGCAGUGGGGAAUAUUGCACAAUGGGGGAAACCCUGAUGCAGCGACGCCGCGUGAGUGAUGAAGUAUUUCGGUAUGUAAAACUCUAUCAGCAGGGAAGAUAAUGACGGUACCUGACUAAGAAGCACCGGCUAAAUACGUGCCAGCAG
rnacentral:rRNA from 1 species